CCAAACAUUUGUCCAAAUCAAAAUGGGCAUAGAACAUAAGUACAAAUGUUUGGAAGCUAAAAGUAUACUACAUAAUUUUUCACUUAUAACACCUUUGUCCCUAUUUUUAACAGUGACUCGCUAUUGCAGCAUAAACUAAUUCAUUCUCGAAAUAUUCAGAAGAAAACAUAUUGACCAAGCAAAAAUCACUUUGGCACAAGAACCUUGUGACAACUAUAGAAAAAAGAUUGAGAUGGUUACUCUCAUAGAAGACAGCUUCAAAUAUAAUUUUAGGAAAUAAAUUUGUACAAUAUUGGCCUACACCGAAAGAAAAAAGCUCAUACACACAGUAUCAUGAAGGAAACGAUUCCUCGUUAUCUCAGUUCCAAAUGGAAACUGGUAUCAAUUCACUAAGAUUUAAAUGAAUGAGAACUGUUAAAUCCAUGUCUAUCUCCAUUUUUAGCGAUUUCAGCAGCGGGCUCACGGGUAUCUACACAACAGAAAUAUAGAAUAUGAGUUUCGGUUCACUUUAUGUGACAAUUAUAGAAAAGGAACAACCACAAGAAAAAACAAACAAACAUGAGAAAGCACAUGCAAGCAAAUAAGCCUUUAUUUUUUCUGAUGAACAUAUGAAACAUCAUAGUAACUAAACACAGUAACAAACCCAUUUGAAGGUAACCAUAUUAGUGCCCAUAGUGCAUAGUUAUUUGAUCCAUAUUUGUUGUCACGGGCGACAAGUACAUAAAAAUUGAUGAACGAUCAAAGGGUAUUUGGUCAAAGGAUAGUUAGUUCUACUUCACAAAUUGCGACCAUGAUACAUUACAAGUUUCAUAGAUUUUUGGUUUAAUGAAUGUUCAGCUAAGAAGAAAAUGAAUAAAAUAUCAACAUAUUAAUCUCUACUAUUAAACCACAGUUGGUACGUUAAACGGUACCCACGUAUCCACCACUCGCGUGACCUCCCCACAUCAUCGUUUUUUUCAACCGAACCCAUUUCCCGAUGCAAGGAAAAAAGCCCUACAACACCGACCACCCUUUUCCUUCUCCCUGGUACGACCCCCACAUGCACGAUUGCUCCUACGGCGCCGAUUUUGACCAUGUCUCCCAUGUGAUGUUGCUUUGUCCCGCUCCCUCUGCCAUCCAGACGCACUCCCUUGCCGCCUCUCUGCUUCAAGGUGUGUGCUCUGAAACCGUCACCUCCUUUCUUCAGCCCGUGGCAUCUAUUCUUCAAUGGAUCAUCUCAAUUUUUCGUCCUUCACUGAGUCCGGCGGCGACAACCAAAGAACCAAGUCCCCAUCCAUUUUUUGAGGGCAUGCAAUUAACGAAGGGGAUGUGUGGCCCAUGAGGUUGCUGCCAUCAGCCAUCGAGGCUGCUGAAAUCUAAUGAAAAAGUGCCUACGGUACAGUUCAUUUCCACUCUCAGUUGGUAGAAAUAAUCAAAUUUCAAGCAUACAAAUUCAAAAUGAAAAAGUCUAUUAUGAGCACCAGAAAGAUAGAAAUGAUCCAUUUAUUUCAAUGCAUACUACUACACCUUGGUGCUUAAAGACAAAACUUAGUUGCAAACAGUGCAUUACCUAGGAAGAACAUUUGGUGUACUGAGCAUAACAAUUCAAAAUUAUUCUAUGGCUAUGAAGUGCCUAAAUCUGAGGUUGCAACAUGAAAGCAAGUACUGAUCAAAUUGACAAAUUAUAUGGUUCAUUCGUUCAUAGUGAACACAGAAUUAAAAGAACUGCUAGAACUCAUGGUGGCAUUCUAUAGAAGCAUCAUUCUUCUGCAAGUAUAGUGUUCUUAAGAAAGCAUGGUGUAGCCAAGAGAUCAAGGUGUCAUACAAGCAUUAUUUCACAGCACAAUCUAGGGAAAAAAUCCUUCGUUCUGGAAGAAUGGCAACCCAAGAUGUACCGACGACAAGAUCCACAGUUGCUUUGCAUUACUCCAAAUCAAGAGUUGCGAUAGCAACCUGUUAAUCUGACAUACCUUUAGAUAGAAGCUCAACGACAAUUUCCUUCUGAACCCAUAUUGAGAAAAAUAAGCCAGAUUUGAAUUUUAAUAUCUUUGCCAGCAUUUAUUUUCAACUGUGCAGGCAAAAUAAAACAUGAAUUUCACACCGCAGAAACUACUAAAUGUGAAAUUACAGAAUUUUAGCAUUUGAAUAUGAGAGAAAUGUAAAGCAUUGUACAUGAUAGUAAUCGUGUUUCAUAGAACUUUGUCAGUGGUAGUGACAUGCCACCGACACCAAAUGCCGUUUAUAAUGUACUCCAUAAUGAUCUUUUUUCAGUUUAUCCAUAAUGAUCUACAACCAUUCCUUGAGCUUCACAUGGUACCUGGUCCUGAUACCAACAUCAAAACAAUGCAGAGUAUUGCUAUGUUUUAAAGUGUGCUUGUCUUAGCAAGGCGUGCCUCGGUUUUCGUUUACACCAUGGUAAACCUCCCACUCUCUAUAUCUCUCUCUAAACAUCUCCGCCUCCAUCAUCGCCCCCGCUCCCCUCACUAUGUCUCUAUGCACUGCCACUCCCCUGCUACCCAAUGUUGGUCCCUGUUAAACUGUUUAACCAUCCGUGAAUUAAACACUAUGCCUUGAAAAAUACUUUCCCUUUAUAAUGAAACAUGCCUACUUCUUUUCCUAAAUAUCAUUCAUCAAUUCAAAUUUGUGAGGUUUCUCUACUACUUAAAUAGUGCAUUAUAUCAACAUAAACUUCAAGUGAGUACAAUAAUUAAGUGAGGUAGCUACAUGCUUGCAUUUCACCUAAAAAUGAUUAAAAGAAGUACUAUUUCGCUCUAAGGUGUCAUACAAACAACAAUAACUCAGUGGACUUUCUGUACAAUUUAGAAGAAAAGCGCCUAGUAUAUCACCCCACUCGACCCUGCUUGGCAUAGAAGAUGGUAGACUCAAAAGAUAUACUAUUUCUAUUCCUUAGCCUGAUGGGUCUGUCUCUCUCAAUAUUACCUCCAUCCCACUAAAACGCAUGCAUUAUGAAUCAUGAACAGGGUGGCUAAUGCAUUUCUGUUACAAAUAUGCUACCAGAAAAAGCUAUAUGAAAUAAGCAUGAUAAACACGAACCAUAUAUUCUCUACAAAUAACACAUGAAAACAAAAUAAACUACAACUUAUAACAGAUUGUACUGAAGAUAAAUCAUCACCCUUCACAACAUGAAUUCAUUGUGAAGCAUCAAUAUUUACAUAAAACAAAUUCCAUGUCAUGCUUAAUGCAAAAGUCUGCACUUAUAUCAGCAAAAAAGAACUUAAAACAAUUUUGAAGGGACAACAUCGCUAUCAGGUGGCAACUCUCCUGCAGCAGUGGCAACAAAAGCAAAUAUGAAGAAGUCUUUACUAACCCCACGUGCGAUUCUGAAAAUGAAAAGAUGGAGAUUGAUGUCGAACAUCCGACACUGACGAAGAAGAUGGUCAGGCCAAUCGCAUAAUGUACAGUACAAAAUUUAUGACAAUGACAGUUUAUUUCGAUCAUCU
rnacentral:lncRNA from 1 species